rnacentral:rRNA from 1 species
AGCAGCCGCGGUAAUUCCAGCUCCAAUAGCGUAUAUUAAAGUUGUUGCAGUUAAAAGCUCGUAGUUGAAUUUCGGGAUUUAUCCGUUGGUCGGGCUUUUGGUCUGUACUGGCGUGAUGGAUUCCUACCUUCUGAAUAACCGGCAUGCCAUUAAUUUGGUGCGCCGGGGAAGCAGGACUGUUACCUUGAAAAAAUUAGAGUGCUUAAAGCAGGCUUAUGCCUGAAUACAUUAGCAUGGAAUAAUGAAAUAGGACGUAUGAUCCUAUUUUGUUGGUUUCUAGGAUUGACGUAAUGAUUAAUAGGGAUAGUUGGGGGCGAUUAGUAUUCAAUUGUCAGAGGUGAAAUUCUUGGAUUUAUUGAAGACUAACUACUGCGAAAGCAUUUGCCAAGGAUGUUUUCAUUAAUCAAGAACGAAAGUUAGGGGAUCGAAGACGAUCAGAUACCGUCGUAGUCUUAACCAUAAACUAUGCCGACUAGGGAUCGGAUGAUGUUAAUUUUUUAAUGACUCAUUCGGCGCCUUA